AUGGGAUUCCUUAUACGAGCAGCUGCCACUGUAUUGGAGAACCUGAGAGAGCUACUCAAGGAUGUUCAAGCCCCCUCUGUGACUGGCACGGACGGCAAGGUAGAUGUUUUUUUCUGGCAAGAUAACUACUACCAGCAGUUACUAUGGCCUCCUACUUUCAGAGGAAUUACCUGGGAACCGGCUGAACUUAUUUGGGAUACGGUCAUCCCCAGAAAUGGAGUAUUUCCUUGGCUUCCAUGUCGAGGCCGGCUGAAUGUGAGGGCAUACAUGGUCAAGAAGCAAUGGAGGAACAUUGAGCACUGUUUUUCCGAUCUGUGUCCGUCAGCUGAAUCAGUGGAUCACCUAGUUCUAAUGUGUGCUACGGAUUCCCACUCGCUGCUGCUGUUUAUCAACAGAUUGCAGGCCGUUGAUCGCUGUUGGUAUGUCCUCUUUGCUUCGUUUGCAGCCCAUCUUUAG
rnacentral:rRNA from 1 species